AAUGGGCGAAAGCCUGACGCAGCGACGCCGCGUGGGGGAUGAAGGUCUUCGGAUUGUAAACCCCUUUCGGGAGGGAAGAUGGAGCGAGCAAUCGUUCGGACGGUACCUCCAGAAGCAGCCACGGCUAACUUCGUGCCAGCAGCCGCGGUAAUACGAAGGUGGCAAGCGUUGUUCGGAUUCACUGGGCGUACAGGGAGCGUAGGCGGUUGGGUAAGCCCUCCGUGAAAUCUCCGGGCCUAACCCGGAAAGUGCAGAGGGGACUGCUCAGCUAGAGGAUGGGAGAGGAGCGCGGAAUUCCCGGUGUAGCGGUGAAAUGCGUAGAGAUCGGGAGGAAGGCCGGUGGCGAAGGCGGCGCUCUGGAACAUUUCUGACGCUGAGGCUCGAAAGCGUGGGGAGCAAA
rnacentral:rRNA from 1 species